GGGGAUUUAGCUCAGCGGCAUAAGCGCCUGCCUUGCAAGCAGGCGGUUGUGAGUUCAAUCCCCA
rnacentral:tRNA from 1 species